GCAUAUCAAUAAGCGGAGGAAAAGAAACCAACAGGGAUUGCCCCAGUAACGGCGAGUGAAGCGGCAAAAGCUCAAAUUUGAAAUCCUGCGGGAAUUGUAAUUUGAAGGUUUCGUGGUCUGAGUCGGCCGCGCCCAAGUCCAUUGGAACAUGGCGCCUGGGAGGGUGAGAGCCCCGUAUGGCGCACGCCGACUCUUUGCACCGCGGCUCCGACGAGUCGAGUUGUUUGGGAAUGCAGCUCUAAGUGGGUGGUAAAUUCCAUCUAAAGCUAAAUAUUGGCGAGAGACCGAUAGCGAACAAGUACAGUGAUGGAAAGAUGAAAAGCACUUUGAAAAGAGAGUGAAACAGCACGUGAAAUUGUUGAAAGGGAAGGGCUUGCAAGCAGACACGGUUUUACCGGGCCAGCGUCGAAAAGGGAGAGGAACAAGAACUCGGAAAGAAUGUGGCGCGCACCUUCGGGUGCGCGUGUUAUAGCUCGUGUUGGACGCCUCCAUCCCUUUUCGAGGCCUGCGAUUCUAGGACGCUGGCGUAAUGGUUGCAAGCCGCCCGUCUUGAACCAACG
rnacentral:rRNA from 1 species